UUUUCGCCCAGCUGAACCAAGAAAGAUAUUGGAGAUGCCAUUGGGGGUGACUAACAUUUCUGUUCCUGAUUCAACAUCUGGAAAGCUGAGCCGUUCUCUAUUGGAUAUUGACUUGAAUGUACCAGAUGAGAGAGUCCUAGAGGAUUUGGCUUCUCGAAGCUCUGCUCAGGAUAUAGUUGCUGCAUCGGACCUUACCAAUAACCUUGAUGGGUCACGCUGUGAAGUGAUGGGUUCUACAUCUGUCCGGGGUUCUGGUGGACUUGAUCUUGAUUUGAAUAGAGCUGAGGAGUUUAUUGAUAUCAGUAAUUACUCUACUAGCAACGGGAAUAAAACAGAUGUGUUAGUUCAAACUGGCACAUCAUCUGGUGGUCUUUCAAAUGGUGAGGUGAAUGUUUGCAGGGAUUUUGAUUUGAAUGACGGACCAGUUGAUGACAUGAAUGCUGAACCAACAGUCUUUCAUCAGCAUCCCAGAAAUGUACAAGCUCAAGCACCUAUUUCUGGCCUUCGGAUAAGUAAUGCAGAAACAGGAAACUUUUCAUCAUGGUUGCCUAGAGGGAACACUUAUUCAACCAUCACAGUUCCCUCAGUCUUGCCUGAUAGAGGAGAGCAACCUUUUCCAUUUGCUCCUGGCGUGCAUCAGAGAAUGUUGGCUCCCUCCACUAGUGGCUCUCCUUUCAGUCCUGAUGUCUUCAGGGGACCGGUGUUGUCAUCAUCUCCUGCAGUUCCCUUUCCAUCUACCCCCUUUCAAUAUCCCGUCUUUCCUUUUGGGUCAAGCUUUCCCCUUCCAUCAGCCACCUUUUCUGUUGGUUCAACAACAUAUGUAGAUUCAUCAUCCAGUGGGAGACUAUGCUUUCCUGCUGUUAAUUCCCAAUUAAUGGGUCCUGCAGGUGCUGUACCUUCUCAUUUCACUAGGCCUUAUGUAGUGAGUAUCUCUGAUGGUAGCAACAGUGCUAGUGCUGAAAGCAGUUUGAAAUGGGGUAGACAGGUUCUAGACUUAAAUGCAGGGCCUGGCGUCCCAGACAUAGAAGGUAGAAAUGAGACACCGCCUCUUGUGCCGAGGCAACUGUCUGUUGCCGGUGCACAGGUCCUACUGGAGGACCAAGCAAGAAUGUAUCAGAUGGCAGGUGGCCAUUUGAAGAGGAGGGAACCUGAAGGAGGAUGGGAUGGUUACAAGCGGCCCUCAUGGCACUAGGGAUGGCUAAUGUGACAAUUUGCUGACCCAUGGAAUAUUUUAAGUUCAUGGUAUGUGUCCUUGACUGGUGCAAUGUUUUAUCUUUGGCAUAUUGUUUAGGACUGAAAUGCUCCUCUUUAUGCUGAAUUGCUGAUGACAUUUAUCUUGGCACUAGCCAUGUUCUCUUUGGCAUGUUCAUUGUCUAGCAUCCUUAUCACGAUUGUCUUGUUCUGUUGCAACCCCACAAAAAAAAAAGGGAAAAAAAAGUAACUGAUAUCAAUGGUAUUUGUCCGUUUUCAACAUUUUUUAUUCUGUUUUUGGCUCCCCCAUUUCAUUUCCGGAUAUGUAUGAACUCUUUUCCAAAGAUUUUUCAUUUUGGGAUUGAAUUACACGCAUACAUUUUAUGGAUUUCCCUUGCUCUCUUUUGGAUGCUUUGUUCUCUUUCCCCUUUGAUGUUCCUUUUUCUUUCUCCAGUUCUUAAAGGAUGGCCGUUGACUUAACCCCUGAGGUCAGUUAAUUUGUGCGCCUGGAGGUUGUGUGGUAAGUGAGUUAUUGAUGUAGUUCAUUGUCUUCAACCCCAUCCUCCUGCUCCACCAACCAACCGUAGUAUAAAAGAAUCUGUUGUGGUCUUCGUCGCUGAAUUUUUUCCGGGUGGUAUUUGUGCAGAGCGGUUUCCUGUUUGUACAUAUUUUAAUUUUUGGAAGCAUGCAUUUUGCUAAGACAUUUAUGGUUGGUGCUUGUAGUGGUGUUUAUGCAUCAGCUAUAUAAACCAUUUGGAUCUAGACCAACAGUCAAUAUCCAAUGCUUCUUGUAAUGGAGCUUGGAUUGAUCUGCUUUAAGCAGAAGAUGUACUUUAAUUUAUCUUUCUUUCCAGUCUCCCCUUUUGAACCCAGUUUUGUUAGUCACAUGAACAUCCAUCUUCUGUGGUUUCCUGCAAGUUAAUCAUGUAGUGUUAUUAUCAGCCCCGAUUUUAGUCCUUAAUCCUUAUGGUUUUCUAAGUUCCCACCCAUCUUAGCCAGUAAGAUUCCAAACUCAAUUUACAUUCUACUUGAUCAUCAUUUUGCCUUUUGCAUACCUGGCAUUUUUUUGUUCACCGGUGGCAUUUGUACAUAUAGGUCUAUGCCUUGUUGUUUCGGCUAUUGCACUCUCUCUAUACUUAAUUUAUCAGAAUGCCUGUUACUGAAAUUAGUGUAUAACAAAUUUUAUAAAGUUUUGAAAAUUUGUACUGUAUUGUUGCUGAAAUUUCAUCUUAUUCUUUGUGGCCUUAAAGGGACAAUGCAACAAUCGGAGCCACAGGCACAGCCCAUGGAUACUUCAACUGCCUAUAAUAUAGUGGUGCCCCAACUGGUGCUUAUGCAAAUCAAUAUUAUGGGUCACAGAGCAAUGCUGGAAAAUAACAAGAGGCUGUGGUUGAUUAUCUGUACAUUAGAGAACCAUUGACGUACAUACGGUUGUAUCUCUAACGCUCGCUUCUGUUUAAUGAAAAUUUGAAUGUUAUAUGACCAGCAUUGCUGCCCUCAAUUUUUGUAAGCAAAGUGGAGGUUGAAAAUGAAAAUAGGAAAGAUCGAGAAUGCCAAUCCUUUUUCUGUUUUUCCACUGGAAAAUUGUCGUUCUGAUUUGGCAUAAUUGGUUGCAAUCAUCAGAGCAAUCACAUCCGCAAACGGCAAAAGAUUGAAAACGACACUGCAAAGUUCAGUUCAACUUAAAAUUAUAAAUAAAAAUAAUAAUUACUAAACCACGCGCAUGCCGUGGUUAAAGUUUAUAUAUAUCGGUAGAAAAAUUAGAACAGCAAUCGGUUAAGUUAAUGAUUAAAAAAGAAAAAAGAAAAAAGAAAAAAGAAAAAAGAAAAAAGAAAUAUAAAUUUUUUUAAAAAAAAAGGCAAAACAAAACCACAUUCCAAAAACGAAAAAAGAGAUCGAGGGGCGAAAUUUGCCAAAUUUGUGAUUAAGCUGACGUGGAGCUGCCAUACCAAUAACAACUCACCAAGUAAAACACGUACGCCUUUCCUCUUUGCUGUCUCUCUCUUCUCUUCGAUUGUUCUUCAUUUUUUGCCCUCUUUCGCUGCUUUCUCUCUCUAGAUUCUCUCUUUCGAUUCUCUCAAUCUCUUUGCUUACCUAGGUCAAUCUCUGGCUCUUUUUCUGGAUCUCAGUUCCAAUUAGAUCGCUUUGUUUGUUUGAAAUCAAUUGGUUACUUUUUCCCCAAAAAAAAAAAAAUUAGGGUUCGGAUUGAUGGUUGGUGAUCUAGGGCUCGUGAAUAGGUGAAAAAAAGAGGGUUGUGACUGUAAGAAGCGGAAUUGAGGAUUGAUGGUACUCAAUAUCGGGCAAAAUGUUGCAAGGGUAUCAUGCGUAUGCGUAUGCAUGGAUGGAGGGCAGGUGAAGAGGAAGGGGAUAGAAAACGGGAAGGUCGUCGACGGCACAUGUGGACUGUCCCUCCACGUGACUCUGCGAUUUUAGCUUCAGUUGCUGAUGGUGGUUCUGCCUCUCCUUCCUCUUCUUCUUCUUUGUCCUCUUCUCCCAAUUCAGUUACUUUCUUUUCUCAGGUAAUUGUUCGAAUACUGAUUUUUUUCGGCCUGCUUGAUUUUUUCGUUUUGAUGGAUCAAUAAGUGAGGGAUUGAAUUGGUUUUCCUUUUUUCUUCAUUAUUAUUAUUAUUAUUAUUUUGGGUGGGGGAAUGGAAUUCUGUUGGGGUUUGAUUGAUUUGUGUGGAAACGUGUGAAAUUGAUCUAAUCUUUGUAGACAUGCUAAAAUUAGGGUAGUUCUGAAAUUUUUUAGCAAUUUUUAAUGUUUUGAUCAUUUGGGGCUUUUAUAGCGUGGAGUUUUUAAGCGUAUGCAAUGGUUAUUUUUCUUCAAAGUUCUUGUUAAAUUUAAAAGAUUUCUAUUCUCAAAACUGUUAUUUUACUCGUUCUCAACGAAGAAAGAAGGAGGUCUUGAAGAUCGCUCUUUUUAGGGGGGAAAAAUUAAUUGAAUGGUUUUCUCAUUCCAAUUCUGAGUUGGUGGCUGAUUAUCUGUCUACACGGUUUUCAUGUGUGAGAUUAUGAACAUUAAUGAUACACUUGCAAUCUCUAAAUUGGGCAAGUUGUAGGAGGGACAUUUAAUUGCAUAUUGAAACAUUUGAUUACCUGAACAACAUGAUGUUGUUUAUCUGAUAGCCAAUUGUUACUAGCAUAUUAUUUUGUUAGUAGAUGUAUUUUUCUUGGAUGACAGUGAUGAUGAUGAUGAUUAAUGGGAAGAAUUGUCAGUGGUAGUGUCGUUUAAUGUUUAAACGUAGGUUUCUGCAACUAAAGUUUUUGAAUGCCUUUACACCAGGCUUCAUAGUUUAUUACCAUGUUAAUGGAUUGAGUAUUUAUUACAGCAUUUUCCAUUUUAUUGUGUGGAGCCAUUUUUUGUUUGACCAAAUUUUGUCAAUUUCUCCAUAGGAUGGACGGAAAAUUAGUGUUGGUGAUUGCGCACUUUUCAAACCGCCCCAGGAUUCCCCUCCCUUCAUUGGAAUAAUUCGUUCACUGACUGCUGGUAAAGAAAAUAAGUUAACUUUAAGUGUGAAUUGGCUUUAUCGACCUGCUGAAGUUAAACUUGGCAAAGGCUUCCUGUUGGAGGCGGCGCCAAACGAAAUCUUUUAUUCCUUUCAUAAGGAUGAGAUUCCUGCUGCUUCCUUACUUCACCCGUGUAAAGUUGCAUUCCUUCCAAAAGGUAUUGAACUUCCAUCAGGGAUUGGUUCUUUUGUGUGCCGGAAAGUAUAUGACAUCACAAACAAGUGUUUAUGGUGGCUAACUGAUCAAGAUUAUAUUAAUGUGAGUUUUGAAUACUUUGCUCUUCUCAUCUUUCUAUGUUUAGCUAUAGGUUGUUGCUUUUCCUGGUAAUCUGUAUUUUUUAACCGCUUCAGGAACGACAGGAAGAAGUAGAUCAACUUUUAUAUAAGACGCAUAUAGAAAUGCAUGCAACAGUACCCUCAGGUGGCCGUUCCCCAAAACCAAUGAAUGGUCCAACAUCAACGUCUCAGCUAAAACCCGGUUCGGAUGGUGCACAGAAUAGUGCCUCUUUUCCUUCACAAGUGAAGGGGAAGAAAAGGGAGAGAGGAGAUCAGAGUUCUGAGCCAGUUAAACGAGAACGAUCCUCAAAAAUGGAGGAUGGGAAUUCUGGACACAGUAGAACAGAAACUAAUUUAAAAACUGAGAUUGCAAAAAUUACAGAGAAAGGUGGACUUGUAGAUUAUGAUGGGGUUGAGAAAUUGGUGCAGCUCAUGGUUCCUGAGAGAAAUGAUAAGAAAAUUGACCUCGUCUGCCGGUCAUUGCUUGCUGGUGUGGUGGCAGCAACAGAUAAAUUUGAUUGCCUUAACUGGUUUGUGCAGUUAAGGGGUUUGCUUGUGUUUGAUGAAUGGCUGCAGGAGGUCCAUAAAGGGAAGAUAGGUGAUGCUGGCAGCCCCAGGGAUGGUGAUAAAUCAGUUGAGGAAUUUCUUUUAAUUUUGCUUCGUGCGCUUGAUAAGCUGCCAGUAAAUCUUAAUGCCUUACAAAUGUGUAACAUCGGAAAGUCUGUGAAUCAUUUGCGGACACACAAGAACGUGGAAAUUCAGAAAAAAGCUAGGAGUUUGGUUGACACAUGGAAGAAACGUGUUGAGGCAGAAAUGGAUGCUAGACCCCGGCUGCCUGAAGUUCCUCACAGUGGGAACAGACAGACAGGUGCAUCCACUGAGGUUGCCAUAAAGAGCCUUGUAACACAACCAGCUUCUUCUAAAACUGGUGCAGUAAAGCUUUGCCAAGGGGAUGCUCCUACAAAGUCUGCGUUUUCCUCUCCAGUGUCUGUGAAAUCAGCUCCAUUGCCUGCAUCAGGGAGUACAGAUGCAAAAGAUGGACAGCCCCGAAAUGCUGCUUCUGCUACUGGUACCACUGACCUUCCUUCUACUCCUGCAAAGGAUGAGAAAAGCAGCAGUUCAAGUCAAUCCCACAACAACGGUCAAUCUUGUGUGGGUGACCAUGCAAAAACUGGGGGAUUAUCUGGGAAGGAGGAUGCUAGGAGCUCUGCCACUGUUUCAAUGACUCUGAAUAAGAUCUCGGUUGGUUCUUCACGGUCUCGGAAAUCAGUCAAUGGUUACCCUAGUUCCACACCAGCUGGGGUUCAAAGAGAAACUGUGUCAAGCAAAAAUGCUACCUUGCAUAGAAAUUCAGCUUCAGAUAGACCAUCUCAGCCAAGUCUGACAUGUGAAAAGGCACUUGAUGUACCUGUGGUGGAGGGGGCCAAUCCCAAAAUAAUAGUCAAGAUUCCAAAUCGAGGUCGAAGUCCAGCACAAAAUUCCAGUGGAGGAUCUGUUGAAGACACUUCAGUCACCAACAGCCGAGCAUCUUCUCCUGUGCUUCCAGAGAAGCAGAACCAAUUUGAUCGUAACUUCAAGGAAAAGAAUGAUGCCCUUCGAGCUGAUAUUUCUUCCAAUAUGAAUAGUGAGCCUUGGCAAAGCAAUGUUAACAAGGAUGCAGCUGCUUGUCCAGACGAGGGAAGUGGGUCACCUGCUGUUCUGCCCGAUGAGCAGGGGAGUAAGACUGGUGAUAAUUGUAGGAAAGUGGUUGAAGAUUUAGAAGAUAAUUCCUUACCGCCAGGAUAUGAGUUUAAAGAUGUAAAAUUGCACGAGUCUUCAUUCAGUUCUAUGAAUGCUCUAAUUGAAAGUUGUGUCAAGUAUUCUGAAGCAAAUGUUUCUGCGCCUGCUGGAGAUGACAUUGGAAUGAACCUUCUAGCUAGUGUGGCUGCUGGAGAGAUGUCCAAAUCUGAUGUAGUUUCACCAGUUGGUUCUCCGCCAAGGACCCCCAUUCACGAGCCUCUUUGUGAUGAUAAUGAUUCAAGAGUGAAAUCAUUUCCUGGAGAUCAUUCUACUGAUAGUACUGAUGACGAGCAUGAGAAGCAGGGUAUUGAUCGUAAUUUGUGGGCUAAAAAUUCUGACAGUAAUCAAGACAAACCUGCAGGAGGUCUAACAGGACACAUCAGUACUUCCCCUGUGGAUUUGCAGCAGAGUGGAGAUCCAUGCCAAGAGAACACUGAAAACUCGAAAGAAAUAAUAGUUGCGGAGGAGACACCUGAUGGUGCAGGAAGAAAUCCUGAAGAGGACAAGGCUGGUUUCAGAGUGGAUGCCGAUGGCGCUCCUGAUGGUAAACAGAGGAUAAGUGGCCCUUUGUCAACUGAGGAUAAGGUUUCUGAGUCCACUCGAGGAGUUGAGACUGAAGCCGUUGAAGGAUCAGCAUCAAACCAGUCUUUGGAAUUUGAUGGCGAGAACAAGAAAGGUGUGAGUGAAGGAUUGAACAGCGGUGUGAAGAGAGAGCAAAAGCCAUCUCCCAUUACCACUCACUCUGAGUCUGUGAAAGGAAAGGAUGGAGAACUGCUGCAUACUUCUGGUUCUGGUGAAGAUAUGCCUCUGAAAAAUGUUGAUGAAGUGAAGGUUGAAAAGGCUGAUGAGGUAGAUUCCAAGAGUCAUGUGAAUCAAACUGAAGAACAAAAUUCUGAAUGGAAAAGCAAUGCUCCAAUGAUUCGUGAGGAUCGGGUUGUACCACAUUUGGGCUCAGCAGAGAAUGAGGAGAAGGGUAAUGGUAAGGUUGACCACAGAGAAAAUUUGGAAGGUAAGGAAGUUAAAGAGGAGCUUUGUGCUGGCCCAGCUCUUCCUGAGGUAUCAACUGCAUUGCGAGCACAGGAAACAGGGCAGCUUGUGAGGACUGGUGCAGUUAAGUUGACUAUCUCUGAAGGAGACAAAGCACAAGAAUCUACAUCUACCACCAUAGAUGCUGCAUCCUCUGCUGUGGGGGUUUCAGAUAUGGAAGCAAAAGUUGAAUUUGAUUUGAAUGAAGGUUUUGAUGGGGAUGAUGGGAAAUAUGGGGAGUCAAGUAAUUUCAUAGUCCCGGGAUGUUCUGGUGUUGUUCAACAGUUGGUUAGCCCGUUGCCUCUUCCUGUUACUUCUGUGUCCAGUAGCCUUCCUUCUUCAGUAACAGUGGCUGCUGCAGCAAAAGGGCCUUUUGUACCACCGGAGGACCUCCUGAGGAGUAAAGUGGAACUUGGUUGGAAAGGAUCUGCUGCAACAAGUGCAUUUCGCCCAGCUGAACCAAGAAAGAUAUUAGAGAUGCCACUGGGGGUGACUAGCAUUUCUGUUCCUGAUUCAACAUCUGGAAAGCUCGGUCGUCCUCUAUUGGAUAUUGACUUAAAUGUACCAGAUGAGAGAGUCCUAGAGGAUUUGGCUUCUCGAAGCUCUGUUCAGGAUACAGUCACUGCAUCCGACCAUACCAAUAACCGUGAUGGGUCACGCUGUGAAGUGAUGGGUUCUAAAUCUGUCCGCG
rnacentral:lncRNA from 1 species